rnacentral:rRNA from 1 species
GGCCUUUUGAAUUUAAUUUAAGGUCUGACCUGCCCAGUGAUGUAUUUAACGGCCGCGGUAUAUUGACCGUGCAAAGGUAGCAUAAUCAUUAGUCUUUUAAUAGAGGGCUGGAAUGAACGGUUUAACGAGGAACUGACUGUCUCAUUUUAUUUGUUUUAAAAUUUAAUUUUUUAGUUAAAAAGCUAAAAUUUUAUUGGAAGACGAGAAGACCCUAUAGAUCUUUAUAUAAUUUUUUAUACCUAUUUAUAAAUAUGAGUAUAUUAAAAUUGUAUUUUGUUGGGGUGACAAAAAUAUAUAAUUAACUUUUUCAUUUAUUUGCCAUUGAUAUAUGAAUAUUAGAUCCAUUAUUAGUGAUUUCUAGAACAAGUUACCUUAGGGAUAACAGCGUAAUCCUCCUCCAGAGUUCAUAUUUACAGGAGGGCUUGCGACCUCGAUGUUGGAUUAAGAUAAUAAUUAGGUGUAGCUGCUUAAUUUAUAGGUCUGUUCGACCUUUAAAUUCUU